GUUUGGUGGCCAGGAGCAAGAAGGAGAAAGAAACCCUCCUCAUCUUCACAAAAAUUGAACAAUUGAAGCCCUAAUCAUGGCCAAAACUCUUGCAUGUUAAUGAAUUCUUGAUCAUCUAGUCCUACUAAAGCAUAAGGAAUAAAGGAAGAAAGCUCAAGCCAAUCCGGGUCACAAACGAAGAACGAAAAAGGUAAAGCAACUUGAUGGAUGGCGCUACUUGGAUCGAACACACUCAUGAUGCACGCUUCCGCGAAGAUACUAGUUAUGGUUUAAACUUUUGUUAAAACGGGUCUUUUGUAAGGAACUUAACCCGGUAGUUAUUAGAUGUUGAACUUGUAGUUAAAGAUUAUGUUAGUUGUUUAUGAAAUGUUUGGGUUGUAAACUCUUUUUGUAACUAUUUCGUUAGCUAUCACGAAGUUAAA